rnacentral:rRNA from 1 species
GACGUAGGGGGCGAGCGUUGUUCGGAAUUACUGGGCGUAAAGAGCUCGUAGGCGGGCUAAUAAGUCUUGCAACAAAGACUACGGCUUAACUGUAGGAAGUUGUGGGAUACUGUUAGUCUUGAGAACAGGAGAGGGGAGUGGAAUUCCUAGUGUAGCGGUGAAAUGCGUAGAUAUUAGGAGGAACACCAGUGGCGAAGGCGACUCUCUGGCCUGUUUCUGACGCUGAGGAGCGAAAGCCGGGGGAGCGAACGGG